rnacentral:rRNA from 1 species
AUGAAAGAGAGAUUUCGUAAGCAUGCUGGUGAGGUGAAUAGUGCUCAUUGUGAAGCCGAAGAGAAAUAUAAUUUGUUCAUCAAACCUAAAGCAUCAAUCCGUGAGGCCAUUUCCUCACAGACCACACAGUACAAGGCUGAGUAUCUAGCUCGAUUAAAAUGGUCACUUGAGUGCAUAAAAUUUAUUUUGCAUCAGGGGUUGGCUUUUCGUGGUCAUGAUGAGGGAAAGGAUUCUAAAAAUAAAGGAAAUUUCCGAGAACUUUUGCAAUGGCUGGCAGGCAACUUUGAAGAAGUUAAUAAGGUUGUUUUAGGAAAUGCUCCACAGAAUUGUCAGAUGAUAGAUCACAAGAUUGAAAAACAGCUUAUUAGUUCUUGUGCUCAUGAAACAACAAAAUUUGUCAUAGAGGAACUUGGUGAUGAGUGUUUCACAAUUCUUGCUGAUGAAUCUAGUGAUGCAUACCAACAAGAACAGUUAGCUCUUUGCUUGCGAUUUGUCAAUAAAAUAGGGGAGCCGGUUGAAAGGUUUCUUGGUCUUGCUCAAGUUGAGGAUACUACAUCAUUGACUCUUAAAGAAGCAAUUCAGACCUUGCUUAUGAAGUAUCAACUGCCGAUAUCCAAGGUACGUGGGCAAGGGUAUGACGGUUUGAAGAAACUAAUCAUGGAAGAUUCUCCUUCUGCUUAUUAUGUUCAUUGCUUCUCCCAUCAGCUUCAACUAACCCUUGUAGCUGUUGCUAAGGAGAAUAUUGAUUGCAAAUGGUUCUUUGGGCACCUUGCAUAUUUAUUGAAUGUUCUUGGGAUGUCAUGUAAAAAGAUCCGCAUGCUUCGCGUAGCUCAGGCUGAGUAUAUGAUUGAAGCAUUGAAACUAGGUGAAAUUGAAGCUGGCCAAGGUUUGAAUCAAGAGAUGGGCCUAGCAAGGCCCGGUGACACACGAUGGGGAUCUCACUACACAACGAAGAGGGAUCAAGAUAUCGUGAAUGCAGUUGAUCUUCUCGAGUUCACAAAGGUACAACUGCAAGUUCUAAGAGAAGAUGAUGGAUGGAAAGAAUUCCUUGAGAAUGUCACUUCUUUUUGUGUGAAGCACAAUGUCAGAUGUGUUGACAUGGAUGGGAAGUACAAGCCUAUACAAAGAGCAAGAGCGUUCUAUAAAAAUGCCAUGAAUUACCACCGGUUCCAUGCUGAUAUGUUUUUGGGUGUCAUUGAUAGGCAAGUUCAAGAGCUUAAUAACAUGUUUGAUGAGGUAAACACGGAGCUACUUAGAUGCAUGGCAUCAUUCAGUCCAGCCAAGUCAUUUUCUUCUUUUAAUAUUGAUGACCUGGUUAAGCUUGCUGGGUUCUAUCCUCAUGAUUUUGACUUUGAAGAAAUGCACCAACUUCCUUUUCAAUUGAAUCUCUAUAUUAAUGAUGUGAGGAAUGACGAAAACUUCAUAAACUUGAGAAGUCUAGCAGAGUUGUCUAUGAUGCAUGUUAGAACAGGGAGGGCUCUUCGGUAUGAUAUUGUUUACAAACUGCUCAAAUUGGUGCUAGUCCUUCCUGUUGCAACAGCCGGUGUUGAGAGGGUCUUUUCAUCAAUGAACUAUAUAAAAAACAAGCUAAGAAGCAAGAUGGGGCAAAAAUACUUGAAUGGUUGCUUGGUCACAUUCAUUGAAAGGGAUUUCUUCUUGCAAGUUAAGGAUGAGGACAUUAUCACACAUUUUCAAAGCAUCAAGGAUCGCAAAGUUAUCCUGUGA